rnacentral:rRNA from 2 species
UUUGGUGAUGAUGGCAGAGAGGUCACACCCGUUCCCAUACCGAACACGGAAGUUAAGCUCUCUAGCGCCGA